AUACAGAGGGUGCGAGCGUUAAUCGGAAUUACUGGGCGUAAAGCGCGCGUAGGCGGCUUAUUAAGUCAGAUGUGAAAUCCCCGGGCUCAACCUGGGAACUGUAUCUGAUACUGGUAAGCUAGAGUUUUGGAGAGGGAAGUAGAAUUUCAGGUGUAGCGGUGAAAUGCAUAGAGAUCUGAAGGAAUACCAGUGGCGAAGGCGACUUCCUGGCCAAAAACUGACGCUGAGGUGCGAAAGCGUGGGUAGCAAACGGGAUUAGAAACCAUAGUAGUCC
rnacentral:rRNA from 1 species